UAAGACACUGGAGGGCUGCUUGCACAUGAGCCUUGAAGCCAAGCUGAACCUGUUUGGAGACUUAGUCUUAGACUAGUCAGGAAGUAGAAGAGCAGAAUUCCCAGCUGCAAAGAUGUGAUAUGAGUGAAGAUGGACUUCCUUCACCAGAGUGAGGUGUGGGCUUAGCAUGAGCAGCGUAAGCAGCUCACGGUGCGUUUUUUGCUCCGCCAGCUGGUGACGGUGGUAACCAGCUCUCAGAGAGACGUGAAGGCUGAAGGCUGAGUGACACACGGCACAGAUGCUUUGUGCACUGGAACACAGAGAGAUGUCUCCAUCGCUGAGGGACCUCAUCACACUUGGACUUUUCUUUCACAUCUGCACAAUUUACAUGAUGUCUUCUUUGGCUGUUUAAGGCUGAGAAAACACCUUCAAUCUGCAUCUUUCAACAAUAUUUUGCCAGUGAAUCAUGUUGAUGUUGAUCUUUGUGUCCAUGUAGUUGUGAUGUCAUCAUUUGGGGCUCAUGUGUCAUCACAUUGACAAGGAUUUCUUCUUUCCUUUUCAAACCAAUAGACAGCUGCUUAUCAGUGAAUAUCACCUUGUGUCACAUCUCAUCAUUAUUUUUAACAAUAUUUUGCAACAUUAGUACCAUUUUUUCAGUACUGUUGUAUGUUAAUGUUAAUUGUUUUUGAUGUAACAUUUAAGAAUGUUGAUUAUGAGAA